rnacentral:rRNA from 1 species
CCUACGGGUGGCAGCAGUGGGGAAUAUUGGGCAAUGGGCGAAAGCCUGACCCAGCAACGCCGCGUGAAGGAAGAAGGCUUUCGGGUUGUAAACUUCUUUUGACAGGGAAGAGCAGAAGACGGUACCUGUCGAAUAAGCAACGGCUAACUACGUGCCAGCAGCCGCGGUAAUACGUAGGUGGCAAGCGUUGACCGGAUUUACGGGGUGAAAAGGGCGUGUAGCCGGGCUGACAAGUCAGAUGUGAAAUCCGGGGGCUCAACCCCCGAACUGCAUUUGAAACGGUUUUUCUUGAGUACCGGAGAGGUCAUCGGAGUUCGUUGUGUAGCGGUGAAAUGCGUAGAUAUAAGGAAGAACA